GAUGAAGAACGCAGUGAAAUGCGAUAAUUAAUGUGAAUUGCAGAAUUCCGUGAAUCAUCGAGUCUUUGAACGCACAUUGCGCCUCAUGGCAUUCCGUGAGGCAUGCCCAUCUCAGCGUUAGAAAAUAUUCUCAAAUUUUAGUUUUGUGCUAAAAUUUGGAUCAUGUCAAAGAAGCUAUUACUAUUAUUGUGAUCGCUCUUUGGAAAUUGAUAGGUCUUUGAGUUGCUACUCAUAGAACGUGAUGAAUCUUUCUUCGUUCUAUUGUAAUUCACUCUGGUAGUCCUAAAACUUGUAUGCCUGUGGCAUAUCUUGUAAGUUGACCUGAGAUUGGGUAGGGAUACCCGCUGAACUUAAGCAUAUCAAUAAGCGGAGGA
rnacentral:misc_RNA from 1 species